AAGCUAAACGAAAAAUUGCAAAUGUCUGCUGCUCUAAAUGCUGCACACGUGCCACUCUAUUAACCUCUACCAUAAAUGUAUAAGCUGAGUGUAUCAGACCAAAAAACUGAGAAUCAGAGAAGUUGAGCAAGUCAUGAGUGUGUGCUGUGGCAGUGUUGGCAGGGGUUGGAGGCAGUGGACAGGUGGGCAAGGGAGAAAGACGUCCUGGGGUGGGGAUGGGGGAGGUGCCACAAGAAAUGCUGUAACUGGAAUCAAAUCAUGACACUGCUUUCCUCUGUGCAGAGCAUCAGACAGGACACAGGAGGGACAUGACAGGGGUCAAGUUUCCCCAGGUUUGGCCUCUAGUAACCCAAAGCAGUAGCCCCUUAGAGCCUCCCACAUAGACUCCUAUUGGAUCUUUCUCUCAUUUUUUUCAGCCAGGGAAUUGAUCCCCGGUCUUUAUGUUGCUACUGCAAGAGGAGGGGUAAGCAGAGUCGUGGGUCUUAGUCUAGACUGCAAGC
rnacentral:lncRNA from 1 species